UCCGGAAGCAGAGCGCGCGCUGAUUGGCCAGCGGGGCGGGGAGGCUGUUUGAAAUAGGGCAGUGCGCGCUGAGCCGCGGGGUGCGAAGGGCCGCGGGUUCGAAUCCAGCGGCAGCCGGGAGGGAACCUCGGUAUUUUUUCUUGUCUGCACGAAGUUCUGUUCUGCUGCUAACAGAUGAGACCUCUCCAAUGGUUUAUGCCAUAAAAGUUAUGACUGCGGUGAUUCCAGUUCUUGGCAGUAUUGCAGUUUGGGACUCAACUUUCUUCCUCCAUUCCAAGCAAAGGCCCUCCCAGCACCUGAUUUUAGAAGGUUUUCGUCUUUGCCUGGGAAAUACCUGCUAUCAAAGCUGCUGCGCACAGCAAAAAUAAGGAUGGAAGACUCAGUGCUAAACACAGACGGGUAUCCAUAACUCCACCAGCUCUACAAGCAGAUGAAAGCCCACAGCGCGGGCUCCGCCGCCAUCAAUACAUGACCUGCUUUGGCAGGGGGGCUGG
ensembl:lncRNA